GGCUUGUCUUCUGGUCUGGCCCCCUGUCACUCAGGCCCCACCACUAGCCCCGCAUCUUGCUGGUUAUUUUGGAGGAGUCUCAUAGACUUUUCUGCUGAGACUGGCCUUGAAUAGCAACCCUCCAGAUCUCAGCAUUGGGAAGAGCUAGGAUU